AGUGUCCAAGAGGCUGCUUGUGAGUGAAGCAAGGGAGGAGGUGAUGGAGGUCACCCCAAAGUCUCCAAGAGAUUAAAAUAUUUUCUUUUCUCCUCAGUGACCCAUUCUACUCCAUCUCAGCUGCAUGAGAAGCACAAAACAUCUUACUACAAUGGGAAUUUAUAUGCAGAUGAGUUUUCCAUUGCAUUCACAAGCAGAUUCAAAUCCCUGGAGUUCUUGGGAGCCAGACCUCCAGCUCAGGUCCUCAAUGGUUUUUGAUGGUCUGGACUCUUGUCAAAGCUCCUGUUAUCAGGAACUGCCAGUUUUGCAGACCCAGGCUCUUCAUGGAUCAAAAGGAAGGAAUGGAAAUGCUACUGCUUUUUUCAGGGCCUGGCCAAGGUAAAAUCCCAGUUCAUGGCUCAGAACCACUCAAAGAUGAAAAAAUAAACACCCUAAAUAAAGAAGGCUGAAGUUCA
rnacentral:lncRNA from 1 species